rnacentral:rRNA from 1 species
AUUGAACGCUGGCGGCAUGCCUUACACAUGCAAGUCGAACGGCAGCGCGGGGCAACCUGGCGGCGAGUGGCGAACGGGUGAGUAAUAUAUCGGAACGUACCCUGGAGUGGGGGAUAACGUAGCGAAAGUUACGCUAAUACCGCAUACGAUCUAAGGAUGAAAGCAGGGGACCGCAAGGCCUUGUGCUCCUGGAGCGGCCGAUAUCUGAUUAGCUAGUUGGUGGGGAAAGGCCUACCAAGGCAUCGAUCAGUAGCUGGUCUGAGAGGACGACCAGCCACACUGGAACUGAGACACGGUCCAGACUCCUACGGGAGGCAGCAGUGGGGAAUUUUGGACAAUGGGCGCAAGCCUGAUCCAGCAAUGCCGCGUGAGUGAAGAAGGCCUCGGUUG